rnacentral:lncRNA from 1 species
UUUAGAAAUAUGAUUGUGCAGUUCUGAUUGAAGAAGUGGCUGGGAAUUAAUUGAAUUGGCAGGAUUGAAUGUGCUUGUAAAUAGGUUCAGUUUCUUUUGAGUUUUUGUUUUGGGUUUUUCUUUUUAGAUGGAGUCUUUAUUUUCAUUUUAGUUUUCCUUGUCAAGAAGAGUAGUUUUUUAAGUGUGGGGGGUGUGAUAACUCUCCAUUUUUUCAUAUUUUUCUUACUUUAGAAGUUANUUUAGCUUCUUAUUUUCUAGAAUUAGGUUAGUUUAGCAUUUUUUCUUUAAUUUUAGNGUUUUGUAAAAAUAGUAUUAAUUUUGUGUUUUUAGAUAAUAAAUAGUAUUUUUUUUAUGUUGUUUUGUUUUUCUCUUUAAAUGUAAAAAUUUGUUUUUCAGAGUUAUAGGAUUUUAUUUUUUUAUUAAACUCUUAAAUUCUUUCUUUUAUGUAGAUAAAGGGAUGAAGAAAAUACAUUGAACUGGGUAAAAAGAGUGUUGUUUGGGCCAAGGUCUAAUGGGUCAGCAUUGUUAGGAAGCCCAGAGUUUUAAUAUGUUGUAGCUGAAGUUGAUAUAUGCAUACUAUGAUUUCUAUCUUGUUUGAUGUCAAGACUAUUGUGGUUCUUUCAGUCGAAGAUAAUAUUUUUCGGGUUCUCAAAGUAAAUUGUUAUUCAAUUAGCGGCAUGUUUGAAUUUUAUUUAUUUGUUUAAAAAUUUACACAAAGCAUUUUCUAUGAUAGCUUGGAUNAUGAAUCUGCUUGGUGAGGGCAUUUUUGAGGAGCUAGUACAGGUGGAUUCUAAACUUAAACUCCCUAUCUGUUUGGCUGAGUGGUUUUUCUGUUACUNGAUNUCAGUCUGAAUGAAGCUGCAUUGUUUGAUGAUUCACUGAUGAANAUUGAUUUUGAUUUUCUUGUAGGAUUCAUUUAGGUUGUCUUCUAGGAUUGUUGNGACUUUAUUCUUUCCAUUGUUUCUGUAAUUAUAAUUCACAUUAGGUUCUUUUUCUUCUAUUAUUGUUUCUUGUUUCUGUUUUUAGCUUUCAAUUAGUAAUUGUCUUAGGUUUCUUUUUCAUUUGUUAGGUUAUGUUUCAGCUUUUAAUUAGAAUUUGCUUUAGGUAUUAGGUUUUGUUCUAAAUCUUUCUUUCCUUUGUAGGUUCUCUUUCAAGCUGUCCAUUAGGAUUUAUUUUCCCUUUUCGUCAUUCAUUGUUCAUGUUAGGAUUGGUUUAGGUUCCUUGUUCUUCUUUGGUUUAGGCUAUCUUUUUUUCUUUUCAUCUUGUUGUUUUCUUUGGUAGAACCUUAGUUUAAGAGCCGUUUUAGGUUACGUAUUCUUUUGUCUUAGCUGUUUUAAAUUUUAGUUGAAUCUAGUUAGCUUUGUAUAGAUUGUACAUUGUUGAGAUCAUGCUGUUAGACAGUUUUAGGUCCUGUUUCAUACUCUUAUUCAUUCUUUGUUGAUUUAAUGCAUUUCUUAGUUUCAUUUACUUUAAUUAGAAUUGUUAAUUGUGUUUUCUAUUUUAGAUUCAAGUAUAAGUAGUUCUAGCAUUAUUUUUACAUNUAAGUUCAGUCCAAUGAAGCAAUUUUUGCAUAAAAGAGAGUAAAAUGUCAGUUUUAGCAAAUUCCUUUACCUGGAGAGAUUUUAGGCCCAAUUUUUGUCUUUCAAGUGUGAUUUCAUGCAUGUUUGGCUUUUAAUUCUAAUUUUGCAUUGAUUCUCUAUGAUAAGCUUGCUCUUGGUAGAAUUUAGAAAUGAUUUAGGCAUUAAUUCUUUUUCUUCAUCCAUAGCCAUUCAGCUUAACCAUUUCAGUUUUAUCCAUUGUACCUUUCUUUUGAGCUAUAGCCUAUUUUUUUUUGUUUCCAUUCAUUAUAAACCCUGUUUACCCCCCAUCAUUAAUCAACCUAUAGAGAUUUGUGAGAAGUAGGGAGAGGAACUAGAACUUAGUGAGUGCAACAGAAAAGUAAGGCCAGAAAAAAAAAAGAAAAAGAAAAAGAAGCUGAGAAAAUCUGGUUGUGUGAAAAAAAAAAAGAGCAGGUCUAAAAAAGAGCAAAUUAGCAAAUGAAUUGAAAAAAAAGGAGAGACCUGACAGUUUGUAAAAACCAGAGAAAAAAAAAGAAAGAAAGAAAUUUGAUUGGCCAAAAGUUAAACAAAGAAUGCACUGAGUUUUAGGUUCCUUACUCUUCUUCUUCACAUUUUCUUCAUUUCCAUUUAAGCCUUGUGUUUUCUAACCCUUCAUGCCAUUUACAUUACAAAGCCAUUAAAGACCUUUUGAUCUAGAUGAAACCAUGAGUAGAGCACUUUCANUUAGAGUCCUUUCAAAGNUAAGAAUGGAAGUUAACAUGUCAUGAGUGAGUGAAACAGGACAACCCCAAACACUUGAGUGAAAAUGAGUGCAAACACUUGUUCCUGUGAGGCUCAAACUGACUUUUGCAUUUCUUAAUGUUUUCAUUGCUGAAAUUGGCUGAAUGAAGUUGUUUUUCAAAUGCUUGAAUUGUUGAAACUGAUGUUUAAAGUUUAGAAAUAUGAUUGUGCAGUUCUGAUUGAAGAAGUGGCUUGGAAAUAAUUGAAUUGGCAGGAUUAAAUGUGCUUUUAAAUAGGUUCAUUUUCUUUUGAGUUUUUGUUUUGGGUUUUUCUUUUUAGAUGGAGUCUUUAUUUUCAUUUUAGUUUUCCUUAUCCAGAAGGGCAGUUCUUUAAGUGUGGGGGUGUGAUAACUCUCCAUUUUUCCAUAUUUUUCUUAGUUUAGAAGUUAUUUUAGCUUCUUAUUUUCUAGAAUUAGGUUAGUUUAGCAUUUUUUCUUUAAUUUUAGAGUUUUGUAAAAAUAGUAUAAAUUUUUCGUUUUUAGACAAUAAAUAGUAUUUUUUUUAU